GGGGCGGGCACAGGUGGCACCGAGGAUUUUGGCCCGGGUACAGGUGGCACCGAGGAUUUUGGCCCGGGUACAGGUGGCACCGAGGAUUUUGGCAGGGGGGUACAGGUGGCACCGAGGAUUUUGGGGCGGGUACAGGUGGCAUCCAGGAGUUCUGGGGCGGGUACAGGUGGCACCGAGGAGUUCUGGGGUGGGCACAGGUGGCACCCAGGAGUUCUGGGGCGGGGGGGUACAGGUGGCACCGAGGAUUUUGGGGUGUGUACAGGUGGUACCCAGGAGUUCUGGGGUGGGGCAGGCACAGGUGGCCCAGAGGAUUUUGGGGCAGGCACAGGUGGCCCCGAGGAUUUUGGGGCGGGUCCAGGUGGCACCCAGGAGUUCUGGGGCGGGGGGGUACAGGUGGCACCGAGGAUUUUGGGGGCCACGAAGGACAUGAGAACCCCCCACAGCCGCGUUUGCCUCUCGGCGAGGAUGGGUUUUACCUGCCGGGGGUUUGCGGUGGAGACCCCCGAGGGUCUCACCAGAGUGCCA